rnacentral:rRNA from 1 species
GAGGAAUAAGCAUCGGCUAACUCCGUGCCAGCAGCCGCGGUAAUACGGGGGAUGCAAGCGUUAUCCGGAAUCAUUGGGCGUAAAGCGCCUGUAGGUUGUUUAAUAAGUCUGUUGUUAAAGACUAGGGCUCAACCCUAGGAAAGCAAUGGAAACUACUAGACUUGAGUAUGAUAGGGGUAGAGGGAAUUUCUAGUGUAGCGGUGAAAUGCGUAGAUAUUAGGAAGAACACCGGUGGCGAAGGCGCUCUACUGGAUCAUUACUGACACUCAGAGGCGAAAGCUAGGGUAGCAAAAGGGAUUAGAUACCCCUGUAGUCCUAGCCGUAAACGAUGGAUACUAGAUGUUGCGUUUAUUAUGCAGUAUCGUAGCUAACGCGUUAAGUAUCCCGCCUGGGGAGUACGCUCGCAAGGGUGAAACUCAAAGGAAUUGACGGGGGCCCGCACAAGCGGUGGAGCAUGUGGUUUAAUUCGAUGCAACGCGAAGAACCUUACCAAGGCUUGACAUACUACAAAUUUCUUUGAAAGAGGAAAGUGCCUUCGGGAAUGUAGAUACAGGUGGUGCAUGGCUGUCGUCAGCUCGUGUCGUGAGAUGUUGGGUUAAGUCCCGCAACGAGCGCAACCCUUAUUUUUAGUUGCUAAUUUAUUAGGUUUUCUAGAAAGACUGCCGGUGACAAACCGGAGGAAGGUGAGGAUGACGUCAAGUCAGCAUGCCCCUUAUGCCUUGGGCUACACACGUGCUACAAUGGUUAAGACAAAGAGUUGCGAGCUCGCGAGAGUUAGCUAAUCUCAUAAACUUAGCCUAAGUUCGGAUUGUAGGCUGCAACUCGCCUACAUGAAG